UUGUUCUCGUUGCUACAAAUAGGCCCUUUGAUCUUGAUGAGGCUGUUAUUAGGAGGCUACAAAGAAGAAAAUAAACCGGGUAUAUUUGAUGCUAUUCUUCGUGGACGCAUUGAUUUCUCAUCGGAUCCUUGGCCUUCUAUAUCAAGCAGUGCCAUAGAUCUGGUCAAGAUGUUACAUACUGAUGCUAAGGAAUGGCUUUCAGUAGUUGAAGUCCUUAGUAAGUUAGUAAAUUUGUAUUAUGUCAAAAGUGGUUUAUAUUUUAUAUGUAAUUGUAUUGCACUAUUGUUUAUAAAAACCAACUGGUUGUGUGUUAUCUACU